rnacentral:rRNA from 1 species
UACGUAGGGUGCGAGCGUUAAUCGGAAUUACUGGGCGUAAAGCGUGCGCAGGCGGUUUUGUAAGCCAGAUGUGAAAUCCCCGGGCUUAACCUGGGAAUGGCAUUUGGGACUGCAAGGCUCGAGUGCGGCAGAGGGGGGUGGAAUUCCGCGUGUAGCAGUGAAAUGCGUAGAGAUGCGGAGGAACACCGAUGGCGAAGGCAGCCCCCUGGGUCAAAACUGACGCUCAUGCACGAAAGCGUGGGGAGCAAACAGG